rnacentral:rRNA from 1 species
UACGGAGGAUGCGAGCGUUAUCCGGAUUUAUUGGGUUUAAAGGGUGCGUAGGCGGACGCUUAAGUCAGCGGUAAAAUUGCGGGGCUCAACCUCGUCGAGCCGUUGAAACUGGAUGCCUUGAGUGGGCGAGAAGUACGCGGAAUGCGUGGUGUAGCGGUGAAAUGCAUAGAUAUCACGCAGAACUCCGAUUGCGAAGGCAGCGUACCGGCGCCCAACUGACGCUGAAGCACGAAGGCGUGGGUAUCGAACAGG